GCCGCAUUGAAAAUCGGCAACUACGAAUCGCAAUCUCGUCGGUGACUUAGAUGAGUUCCGAGUGUUGGUCGUCGGAGACGCUGGAUCAGUGAGCGUGGGCAUCAACCUGUUUUUGUAAGUUGUAGUCUCUGGAAGCCCCUCUCUGUGUCCUUGUUGGGAGGAUGCCACUUACUGUGAGUAGAAGUGUAAGCAGGGGGAAAAGGGUGUCUACACAGACGCUAUUUUUAGAGGAAAACGCCGUUUUCUGUUGGGAUUGGAGUUGGAGUUGUAUUUGUCGGUACGUUGCGGAAGCAGACGUGACUCGGAGGGCCGCACCAAGGAGAUUAUCUGUAAUGCACUCUAGGUUCCUCGUUCCUGCGCAUGUUGGUGUAGUGAGAAUUGUUCUUGGGUUUGGAAGUGUGACUUAGCUAUCAGCUAUGAGCUACAGAGCCUGACCUACCCAGAUGCAUGCUGGUUGUUUGGAGAUACACGGCGUACCAUUGCAGGCUAAUGUUGUCAAUCAACACAUGUUCAAUCGAUAGCCAGAGCGCUACUCAGGCACCAGCAAGAUUCCUGCCGAACUCUUGACGAAGAUUUUAUGAAAGAUCAGGCGCGCUUCACAUGUUCACGAGCUCAACGUUCAUAUGUUCAACUUAUCUUUGAGUACUUAGUUGCUUGUUUUAGAGAUGAGAAGAUGGAUAACGGUCAGGAGUUGGGCGUGAGAGCAUUAAAAGUACAACCUAUCUUCACUCACUUUGACCGUAAUCAAGAUGGAUUCCUCAACAGGAAUGAAAUGGCAAGCUUGUUGAUUGCUGUCAACCCCCAGCUCAAGUUUAGUAAAGAUCAGAUCGAAGCCAUUCUUGACGAAGUGUCCAGAACGUACGGGGGGUUCUUCGAAGGUAGCAGGGGUUUGAGCUUUAAGGGAUUCCUACGAACCUACGAAGACGGAGCUGGUGAUGUGGACGCGGAUUUUGAAACCUUACAGUGGAUUCUCUCCAACUGUAAGCGGAGCGGAGGCGCGUGAGGUGAAGCAGCAGGGGGGUGGGGGGUUGGAAGCGUGAGUGGAGGGGCAGGUGCGUGGCGGCGAGCGAAGGCCACCGAGAAUGAAUGAAUGUACAGUUGUUGCGAGGGGAUUGCGAGGUCGAAAUCAGAAGCGUUGCGUGUGUGUGAGUGUUUGUGUGCUGGGGGGCUGGGGGGCUGGGGUGCGGUGGCAGCGAUGGAUGAGGCAUGGGACGACGCCCGGUUCUCCACUCCAAAGCUUCGAUUGAAUGUCCAUUGAAGCAGACGUGUUGCGACAGGUUAGCGACGAUGGGUGUAGAUGUGAUGUGAUGUGAUGGUGUGGUUCUUCCACGGCGGCGUCCUUGCGGUGGCGGAGAAGGGGAUAUCCCGAAGGAGCGGCAGCGGGAGAGCACAAGCAGAAAGGGUGCAGUGAGUGAGUGGGUCCAGCUGGGUGGCUGGCCGAGUGGACGCGACCGGGUUUCGAGGGGGGGGGGGAGAAAAGGGAUGGAGCGAGGGAUAUAACCCACAUGGAAUGGAGGUGGGUGUGAAGGCGGGUAUAUAGGAAGGUGGAGGACUUACAACCCAUGUCUCUUCGGAGACAUCUGAUAAAAUUGGAACGAUACAGAGAAGAUUAGCAUGGCCCCUGCGCAAGGAUGACACGCACAAAUCGAGAAAUGGUCCAAAUUUUUU